rnacentral:rRNA from 1 species
AGCUUAACUCCGAAACUGCAUUCGAUACUGCCGUGCUUGAGGACUGGAGAGGAGACUGGAAUUACGGUGUAGCGGUGAAAUGCGUAGAUAUCGUAAGGAAGACCAGUGGCGAAGGCGGGUCUCUGGACAGUUCCUGACGCUGAGGCACGAAGGCCAGGGGAGCAAACGGGAUUAGAUACCCCGGUAGUCCUGGCAGUAAACGGUGCACGUUUGGUGUGGGAGGAUUCGACCCCUUCUGCGCCGGAGCUAACGCGUUAAACGUGCCGCCUGGGGAGUACGGUCGCAAGAUUAAAACUCAAAGAAAUUGACGGGGGCCCGCACAAGCGGUGGAGUAUGUGGCUCAAUUCGAUGCAACGCGAAGAACCUUACC